CGAACGGGUGAGUAACGCGUGAGGAACCUGCCUCAAAGAGGGGGGAAACAGUUGGAAACGACUGCUAAUACCGCAUAAGCCCACGGGUCGGCAUCGACCAGAGGGAAAAGGAGCAAUCCGCUUUGAGAUGGCCUCGCGUCCGAUUAGCUAGUUGGUGAGGUAACGGCCCACCAAGGCGACGAUCGGUAGCCGGACUGAGAGGUUGAACGGCCACAUUGGGACUGAGACACGGCCCAG
rnacentral:rRNA from 1 species